CUGCGAAUGGCUCAUUAUAUCAGUUAUAGUUUAUUUGAUGAAGAAAACUAAUUGGAUAACCGUAGUAAUUCUAGAGCUAAUACAUGUAUAAAGUCUUGUAGACUGCAUUUAUUAGAAUGAAAACCAUAGGUUUCGGCCUAUUCGUGAGUAAUAAUAACUAAUCAUAUCGUAUGCUUAUGUAACGAUGUGUCUUUCAAGUUUCUGCCCUAUCAGCUUUCGAUGGUAGUGUAUUGGACUACCAUG
rnacentral:rRNA from 1 species